AUUGAACGCUGGCGGCAUGCUUUACACAUGCAAGUCGAACGGCAGCGCGGGGCAACCUGGCGGCGAGUGGCGAACGGGUGAGUAAUAUAUCGGAACGUACCCAGAAGUGGGGGAUAACGUAGCGAAAGUUACGCUAAUACCGCAUACGAUCUACGGAUGAAAGUGGGGGACCUUCGGGCCUCAUGCUUUUGGAGCGGCCGAUAUCUGAUUAGCUAGUUGGUGAGGUAAAGGCUCACCAAGGCGACGAUCAGUAGCUGGUCUGAGAGGACGACCAGCCACACUGGGACUGAGACACGGCCCAGACUCCUACGGGAGGCAGCAGUGGGGGAAUUUUACGCAAUGGGGGGAAACCCUGACGUAGCGACACCGCGUGAACGAAGAAGCCCUUUGGGGUGUAAAGUUCUGUCGGCUGGAACGAAAAAAUGACGGUACCAGCAAAGGAAGCAUCGGCUAACUACGUGCCAGCAGCCGCGGUAAU
rnacentral:rRNA from 1 species